ACUUUUGUUCAAUUGGUUCGCGGGAAAAAAAUGGGACCGAGACGCAAGCGAGGGUUUGUAGAAAAAACGGUGGAAAAUGCUUCAUCCGAUGUCACUUCAAAGAGGCCGUGCAUUGAUUCAGAAGAAGAGAAUUUACAUCAAGUAGACAAGAGCUGCACCGUUUCCAUCUCUAUCGAAUUUUGCAAAUCAUGACAAGUGUUUCGGCGCAAAGCAGAGGCAUUGUCAGCUGAUUUGCGCAAAGAAUUUGGAGAUGUCAGACUUGCUCUUAACCCCAAACUGCCAAGGAGGGGAAGUUUUGAGGUCACCCUGAAUCCUGGUUCAGAAAAUGAAGUGCUUUUGUGGUCUGGACUGAAAAAAGGACCUCCACGAAAGUUGAAGUUUCCAGAAAAUGAAGUGAUCAUUAUGGAAAUGCAAAAGCACCUGAAAUAGAGGAAGUCAUCAGGAAAUAAAGUGAUUUUGUUUCAUGCAGAAUUAACAACUGCUGACAUGAAAGACGGAAAGGAAAAGAAAUUUCUCAACUUUGUGUCUGGAUAAUAAUUAAGCAUUAUUAAUCUGCAUGUGACAGACUCUCUUAUAUUUUGUGCAUGGAUUUUUGCUUUUUUCCUAGCCCCUUCCUAUUAUACAGAUGGGUAGAAGAAAAGUCACAAUGUCAAGACACUUCUCUGCUCAUAAUUUCUAAAAUGUUGGGUUCUUGAAUACUUUAAAAGACUUGUGUCACUUAAGCUUUAUUUCAUCUUAGAUAAACUUAUAUUAACAUGCUAUUUUUCUUUUCAUUAAUGAUUUAAGAUUCUGCGUCUAAAUAGAAUAAUAAAGGGUCAGUUGAAAAAAGAAAUUUGAGGUAAAAGAAGUGGUGGGAGGUGUAGAUUUGAUAUCAACCAGCAUUAGACAUGUUUAGGUUUUUUUUGCCCACGUCCUCUUGUUAAACAUUUUCUUAUUGGCAUUUAUGUAUUAUUCAAUAAAAGCAUUGGUACUGUUU